GCCUCCCCAACGAUGCCUCCUGUAUAGCCUGUGGAACUACCUGUAGUUAGAAGAACCUGCCUGGGAGGGAUCACGACUGGGAGAUCCGAGCAUGGGAGGGCCUGGAGCACUGCAGAAGCUUGAUGGUAUUUGGGCCCAUCUGCAUAAAUGGAGCAAUUUGGACAGAGACACACUGAAGAGCGAGAAUGCCAGGUGAAAAUGAAGGCGGAAGUUGGUGUUGAAGCAGCAGAAGCUAAGGAAUUCCAAAACUUGCCAGCAAACCGCCAGAAGCCACCAAAGGGGCAUGGAACCUAGUAUUCCUCACAGCCCUCAGAAGGAACCAACCCUGUGGACACCUUGAUCUCAAACUUCUAGCCUCUAGAACAACGCAAGACAUUGUGAUUUUGACCUUGUUGGAUGCUGCACCUAAAGGUGGAUGGAAGAGGAAGUCUUGGGGGCUACCACUCUGACUGGAGAAGCUGGCACGAGGCUCCCUCUUGUGGAUGCAGCAAGGCAAGAAAGUAAAGUGCACAUUUUCUUCUGGAGCAAGUGGCCUCCAGCUCUGCCUCUGGACUGAAACACACACUUGCAUGCUGUGGCUUAGCUGAGGGCUUGUGACUCAGGACAGAAGCAGUGGUGGUGAGGAGCAGGGCAGUGAUACGGGAGAGGUACAGUCCCAGCCCCAGGACACAGUGGAUCUCAAUAUUGGGAAGGGAGGAGUUCAGUAUCAGUAAAGUGAGCCAUAAGAGAGAGGAAAGCAGCCUUAGCAGACAGAGGUGGAACCAAUUGAAAGAAGGAGGGGAGCGUCUUGCAAGAACGUUGCUGGUACUGGCUAGAGGCUGUGGGGAUCAUUCUCAGGCCAUCCAAGAACUCUGAGAAGAUUGGGGGGAUGCUGGAAUUUCACUGUCGUCGCCAGGAUGGGCUCAAGCCAGAGGCUAUUUUUAUUUAAAUGCCAUUAAUUUUGUUUUUAUUUUUUGAUAUUAACCCUGUCAGGUGAGUUUAGAGAAUACCUGUUAUCAAUGAUAUAUAAUUCUGAAAUGUUAAUGUGUGGGAAGGAGCAAGUAAGGCUCAAUAAAUAUAACCUGGACAUGUAAUGAUGCUAGAGAACUUAUGAUCUUCACCUGAAAAUUUUGGAUGCAUAAAAGUCCCUUAUUGUCAUUUUAUUUAUUUACUUAGUUCUUACUGAGAUUGAGAUAGUUUUACUGUAUAAUACCUAAAGAUCUCGUGUAAGAGUGAUACUAGCUUUUGUUCCCUAUUAGUUUCUUUUUCUUUUCUUUUUGACACAGAAUCUCGCUCUGUUGGCCAGGCUGGAGU